rnacentral:pre_miRNA from 1 species
CUAUUACUCCCUCCGUUCGGAAUUACUUGUCGCAGAAAUGGAUGUAUCUAGACGUAUUUUAGUUCUAGAUACAUCCAUUUUCGAGACAAGUAAUUCCGAACGGAGGGAGUAGAUA